rnacentral:rRNA from 1 species
UACACACCGCCCGUCACAUCACGAAAGCCAGUUGUACUAGAAGCCGGUAAUUUAACCGCAAGGAGAUAGCCGUCCAAGGUAUGACUGGGUGAUUGGGGUG